rnacentral:rRNA from 1 species
AGUGAACGCUGGCGGUAGGCCUAACACAUGCAAGCCGAACGGCAGCACAGUAAGAGCUUGCUCUUACGGGUGGCGAGUGGCGGACGGGUGAGGAAUACAUCGGAAUCUACUUUUUCGUGGGGGAUAACGUAGGGAAACUUACGCUAAUACCGCAUACGACCUACGGUUGAAAGCAGGGGAUCUUCGGACCUUGCGCGAUUGAAUUAGCCGAUGUCGGAUUAGCUAGUUGGCGGGGUAAAGGCCCACCAAGGCGACGAUCCGUAGCUGGUCUGAGAGGAUGAUCAGCCACACUGGAACUGAGACACGGUCCAGACUCCUACGGGAGGCAGCAGUGGGGAAUAUUGGACAAUGGGCGCAAGCCUGAUCCAGCCAUACCGCGUGGGUGAAGAAGGCCUUCGGGUUGUAAAGCCCUUUUGUUGGGAAAGAAAAGCAGCAGGUUAAUACCCCGCUGUUCUGACGGUACCCAAAGAAUAAGCACCGGCUAACUUCGUG